CCUACGGGGGGCAGCAGUGAGGAAUCUUGCACAAUGGGGGCAACCCUGAUGCAGCGACGCCGCGUGAAUGAUGAAGGCUUUCGGGUUGUAAAGUUCAGUAAGCAGGGAAGAAUAAGCACCGGGUAAUAUUCGGUGUGAUGACGGUACCUGCCUAAAGCCCCGGCUAACUACGUGCCAGCAGCCGCGGUAAUACGUAUGGGGCUAGCGUUGUUCGGAAUUAUUGGGCGUAAAGGGCGUCUAGGCGGGGGAUUAAGUUAGAUGUGAAAGCUAUGGGCUCAACCCAUAAAUUGCAUCUAAGACUGGUUCUCUUGAGUUCGGGAGAGGAGAGCGGAAUUCCAGGUGUAGCGGUGAAAUGCGUAGAUAUCUGGAAGAACACCAGUGGCGAAGGCGGCUCUCUGGCCUAGGACUGACGCUGAAGCGCGAAAGCGUGGGGAGCGAACAGGAUUAGAUACCCCGGUAGUC
rnacentral:rRNA from 1 species